rnacentral:rRNA from 1 species
GAUGAACGCUGGCGGCGUGCCUAAUACAUGCAAGUCGAGCGAACGGACGAGAAGCUUGCUUCUCUGAUGUUAGCGGCGGACGGGUGAGUAACACGUGGAUAACCUACCUCUAUGACUGGGAUAAUUUCGGGAAACCGGUGCUGAUACCGGAUGAUAUUUUGAACCGCAUGGUUCAAAAGUGAAAGACGGUCUUGCUGUCACUUAUAGAUGGAUCCGCGCUGCAUUAGCUAGUUGGUAAGGUAACGGCUUACCAAGGCAACGAUGCAUAGCCGACCUGAGAGGAUGAUCGGCCACACUGGAACUGAGACACGGUCCAGACUCCUACGGGAGGCAGCAGUAGGGAAUCUUCCGCAAUGGGCGAAAGCCUGACGGAGCAACGCCGCGUGAGUGAUGAAGGUCUUCGGAUCGUAAAACUCUGUUAUUAGGGAAGAACAUAUGUGUAAGUAACUGUGCACAUCUUGACGGUACCUAAUCAGAAAGCCACGGCUAACUACGUG